rnacentral:rRNA from 1 species
GACGAACGCUGGCGGCGUGCUUAACACAUGCAAGUCGAACGGAAAGGCCCUGCUUGCAGGGUACUCGAGUGGCGAACGGGUGAGUAACACGUGGGUGAUCUGCCCUGCACUUCGGGAUAAGCCUGGGAAACUGGGUCUAAUACCGGAUAGGAGCCAUUUUUAGUGUGAUGGUUGGAAAGUUUUUUCGGUGUAGGAUGAGCUCGCGGCCUAUCAGCUUGUUGGUGGGGUAAUGGCCUACCAAGGCGGCGACGGGUAGCCGGCCUGAGAGGGUGGACGGCCACAUUGGGACUGAGGUACGGCCCAGACGCCUACGGGAGGCAGCAGUGGGGAAUAUUGCACAAUGGGCGCAAGCCUGAUGCAGCGACGCCGCGUGGGGGAUGACGGCCUUCGGGUUGUAAACUCCUUUCGCUAGGGACGAAGCUUUUUGUGACGGUACCUAGAUAAGAAGCACCGGCUAACUACGUG